CAGUCGAACGGUAGCAUUUCUAGCUUGCUAGUAAGAUGACGAGUGGCGGACGGGUGAGUAAUGCUUGGGAACUUGCCUUUGCGAGGGGGAUAACAGUUGGAAACGACUGCUAAUACCGCAUAAUGUCUUCGGACCAAACGGGGCUUCGGCUCCGGCGCAAAGAGAGGCCCAAGUGAGAUUAGCUAGUUGGUAAGGUAACGGCUUACCAAGGCGACGAUCUCUAGCUGUUCUGAGAGGAAGAUCAGCCACACUGGGACUGAGACACGGCCCAGACUCCUACGGGAGGCAGCAGUGGGGAAUAUUGCACAAUGGGGGAAACCCUGAUGCAGCCAUGCCGCGUGUGUGAAGAAGGCCUUCGGGUUGUAAAGCACUUUCAGUUGUGAGGAAAAGUUAGUAGUUAAUACCUGCUAGCCGUGACGUUAACAACAGAAGAAGCACCGGCUAACUCCGUGCCAGCAGCCGCGGUAAUACGGAGGGUGCGAGCGUUAAUCGGAAUUACUGGGCGUAAAGCGCACGCAGGCGGUUUGUUAAGCUAGAUGUGAAAGCCCCGGGCUCAACCUGGGAUGGUCAUUUAGAACUGGCAGACUAGAGUCUUGGAGAGGGGAGUGGAAUUCCAGGUGUAGCGGUGAAAUGCGUAGAUAUCUGGAGGAACAUCAGUGGCGAAGGCGACUCCCUGGCCAAAGACUGACGCUCAUGUGCGAAAGUGUGGGUAGCGAACAGGAUUAGAUACCCUGGUAGUCCACACCGUAAACGCUGUCUACUAGCUGUGUGUGUCUUUAAGACGUGCGUAGCGAAGCUAACGCGCUAAGUAGACCGCCUGGGGAGUACGGCCGCAAGGUUAAAACUCAAAUGAAUUGACGGGGGCCCGCACAAGCGGUGGAG
rnacentral:rRNA from 1 species